rnacentral:rRNA from 1 species
AUUGAACGCUGGCGGCAUGCCUUACACAUGCAAGUCGAACGGCAGCACGGGAGCUUGCUCCUGGUGGCGAGUGGCGAACGGGUGAGUAAUACAUCGGAACGUACCCUGAAGUGGGGGAUAACGUAGCGAAAGUUACGCUAAUACCGCAUAUUCUGUGAGCAGGAAAGAGGGGGAUCGCAAGACCUCUUGCUUUAGGAGCGGCCGAUGUCGGAUUAGCUAGUUGGUGAGGUAAAGGCUCACCAAGGCGACGAUCCGUAGCGGGUCUGAGAGGAUGAUCCGCCACACUGGGACUGAGACACGGCCCAGACUCCUACGGGAGGCAGCAGUGGGGAAUUUUGGACAAUGGGCGCAAGCCUGAUCCAGCCAUGCCGCGUGAGUGAAGAGGCCUUCGGGUUGUAAAG